rnacentral:rRNA from 1 species
UAGGGAAUCUUCGGCAAUGGACGAAAGUCUGACCGAGCAACGCCGCGUGAGUGAAGAAGGUUUUCGGAUCGUAAAACUCUGUUGUUAGAGAAGAACAAGGACGUUAGUAACUGAACGUCCCCUGACGGUAUCUAACCAGAAAGCCACGGCUAACUACGUGCCAGCAGCCGCGGUAAUACGUAGGUGGCAAGCGUUGUCCGGAUUUAUUGGGCGUAAAGCGAGCGCAGGCGGUUUCUUAAGUCUGAUGUGAAAGCCCCCGGCUCAACCGGGGAGGGUCAUUGGAAACUGGGGUACUUGAGUGCAGAAGAGGAGAGUGGAAUUCCAUGUGUAGCGGUGAAAUGCGUAGAUAUAUGGAGGAACACCAGUGGCGAAGGCGGCUCUCUGGUCUGUAACUGACGCUGAGGCUCGAAAGCGUGGGGAGCAAACAGG